rnacentral:rRNA from 1 species
AUGGGCCAGGACGAGCUUUCAUGCAUGGUGGAUGAUUUCUACAAUCGCUUGUUGGGUGAGACCCCGCUGCGGGCGCAGGCUCUUAACCUGGACGUCCUGAACCUGCCUCAUAGAGACCUGACACACCUUGAGGUGCCCUUCACGGAGGAGGAGAUUGAGCAAGUAAUCAAAUCUAUGCCCAUGGACAAGGCGCCGGGGCCGGACGGCUUCACCGGUAGGUUCUAUGCUUCCUGCCGGCACAUAAUCAAAGGCGACAUCAUGCGCGCCAUGGGCCUCUUCCACCAAGGUGACAUGCGGGGACUGCCGGCGAUCAACAAAGCCAUUGUUACUCUACUUCCCAAGAUCGAUGCAGCGGUGGAUCUAAAGGACUUCCGGCCGGUCAGCCUCAUGCACGGGGCGAUAAAGGUCUUCGACAGGGCAAUGGCUGUCAGGUUGGCCUCCGAUCUGCCCACGCUUGUUGGCAUACACCAGAGUGCUUUCAUCAGGGGACGGUCGAUCCACGACAACUUCAUGCUGGUCCAAUGCAUGGCACGCCGGCUCCACGCCCUUCGGGAGCCCACGAUCAUGCUUAAACUUGACAUCACGAAAGCAUUCGACACGGUCCAAUGGCCUUUUCUCCUGGAGGUGAUGCGGGCGAUGGGUUUUGGUGCGCGGUGGAUCGAGUGGGUUUGUGGACUCCUGGCUACAUCCUCUACGCGAGUUAUGGUAAAUGGAUACCCUGGCAGGCCCAUAUACAAUGCAAGGGCCAUGAGGCAAGGCGCGCCUCUCUCGCCGAUGCUCUUCAUCUUGGCUAUGGAGCCGCUGCACAAAAUGUUCCAACUGGCGGCAUCCCGUGCUCUCCUGAUUCCGCUGGCCAGAUCGGGGAUGCAACAGCGGCUAUCGCUGUUUGCUGACGAUGUGAUGCUUUUUAUCAAACCGCUCGAAGCGGAUCUUCGUACAGUGCCUGGAUCCUUCAGUGCUUUGGCGACGCAUCGGGCCUUAGAGUGA